GACGUAGGGGGCCAGCGUUGUUCGGAAUUACUGGGUGUAAAGGGUUCGUAGGCGGUGCGGCAAGUCGGGAGUGAAAUCUCUGGGCUUAACCCAGAGGCUGCUUCCGAAACUGCUGUGCUUGAGUGUGGGAGAGGCGCGUGGAAUUGCAGGUGUAGCGGUGAAAUGCGUAGAUAUCUGGAGGAAUACCGGUGGCGAAGGCGGCAUCCUGGACCGACAUUGACGCUGAACGGCGAAAGCUAGGGGAGCAAACGGG
rnacentral:rRNA from 1 species